rnacentral:rRNA from 1 species
AGUGAACGCUGGCGGUAGGCCUAACACAUGCAAGUCGAACGGCAGCACAGUAAGAGCUUGCUCUUAUGGGUGGCGAGUGGCGGACGGGUGAGGAAUACAUCGGAAUCUACCUUUUCGUGGGGGAUAACGUAGGGAAACUUACGCUAAUACCGCAUACGACCUUCGGGUGAAAGCAGGGGACCUUCGGNCCUUGCGCGGAUAGAUGAGCCGAUGUCGGAUUAGCUAGUUGGCGGGGUAAAGGCCCACCAAGGCGACGAUCCGUAGCUGGUCUGAGAGGAUGAUCAGCCACACUGGAACUGAGACACGGUC